GAGUUUUAUAUUUAAUUUUAUUUUAUAAUUAUAUAAAAAUUUAUGUUAAAAUAAAAUUAAAAUAUUGUAUUGGGGUGAUAGAAAAAUAAAAUAAACUUUUUUUAAAAAAUUAACAUAAAUAAGUGAUUAAAUGAUCCAUUAUUAAUGAUUAUAAGAAAAAAUUACCUUAGGGAUAACAGCGUAAUAUUUUUUUUUAGAACAAAUAAAAAAAAAAGAUUGC
rnacentral:rRNA from 1 species